UAUAUCUUUAUCACUCUUGGAUGAAAGCAGAUCAUGUGAAAAUAAAGAAGCAGAAGGUACAAAAAUACAUUGACGCAAUUAUAUCGGCCAGUGUUUAACUUAAUGUCUUUCAGCCAUAUAUUGCUAUUGAGUUCAUUUUCAAAGGCAGACACAAAAUUCUUCAAAUUGACACGCUGGACAAAGUACAAUGUUGCCUGGAGCACAAUAUUCACUCAGCACUGUUGCCCACAGACCAGGAGAUGUUGAAGCCCCUGCCCUAAUAAUUAUUCCCAGAAGAAGAAUUCUGGCC
rnacentral:lncRNA from 1 species